UUGCGGGGAAAAUGUUGACAGUGUCAGAACCUGGACUUGUACACACCAUGGAUAUGGGAGACAUCCCAUUAGCUGAGCGUGUGAUUCAGAUACGUUCACGCCCAAUGACCGAUGAUACUAAGUUUGACUGCCCAAGGAUUGACAGCCUAAAAAUGCUCCUAACAGAGAUGAAAUGCCCAUCAGAGUUCCAGCAAGGAUGUAAUGUCCCAUACAUUGACCCCUUUUGAUUGAAGACCAGCCAACUUAAAGCUCACAGAUUGGUGUGAUUCAAAUGGCCCCAGUUCUACAAAAGGAUAGCCCACAGUUUGCUGACAGCCCACAAACUGACUGCUAUCAGAACAAUGGUUCACAAAUAAUUGCUCAACAAAUUGAGAGCCAAGGGAUCCCAAACCCAUGGACAACAGGUCACUGGUUUUUAGUUCUCGGACCUGGUGAGGACAUCCCAAAGGCAGAAUGAAACAGAACC